GGGUUGUGAGGUUAAGCGACUAAGCGUACACGGUGGAUGCCCUGGCAGUCAGAGGCGAUGAAGGACGUGCUAAUCUGCGAAAAGCGACGGCGAGGUGAUAUGAACCUUUGACCCGUCGAUGUCCGAAUGGGGAAACCCAGUGUGAUUCGUCACACUAUCGUUAACUGAAUACAUAGGUUAACGAGGCGAACCGGGGGAACUGAAACAUCUAAGUACCCCGAGGAAAAGAAAUCAACCGAGAUUCCCCCAGUAGCGGCGAGCGAACGGGGAGCAGCCCGGAGUCUGAAUCAGCUUGUGUGUUAGUGGAACGGUCUGGAAAGUCCGACGGUACAGGGUGAUAGUCCCGUACACGAAAAUGCACAUGCUGUGAACUCGAAGAGUAGGGCGGGACACGUGGUAUCCUGUCUGAAUAUGGGGGGACCAUCCUCCAAGGCUAAAUACUCCUGACUGACCGAUAGUGAACCAGUACCGUGAGGGAAAGGCGAAAAGAAC
rnacentral:rRNA from 1 species